rnacentral:ncRNA from 2 species
ACAGUACAAACUGAGCAGGCGAUGGGCCUUCUGGCCUGUGGGGCUGGGUCCGUAAGGACAACAGGUGAAUAGAAACAUCUGUGGGACGGUU